AACCCACCAAACUCUCUGUUCAGAACUUGGGCUGAGCUCCUAUCUUGGAUUAGAGGUACCUCAUUUGCAGCGCCCUCUCUCCUGCGAAAGCUAGCUGCCCAAUGUAUCAUUUACCAUCUUUGGAAGCAACGAAACAAUGUACUGCACAACCACACUGUUCUACCACCUACCACCAUAUUCAGGAUCGUUGAUAAGGAGAUGCGCAACACAAUUACAGCAAGGAGGGAAAGAAAGCACUUCCUCAAGCUUAUAGUCAAAUGGAUGCAAUGAACUACGUUUAUCUCAUAUUCAACUUUGUUACAUCCUUAUUUUUUUUACUUUUUUGCCAAGGUGUAACAAAACUUAGAUCUACAUUUCUUGUAAAUUUUUUUUCAUUUAUAUGAUAUUUACCUUUUAGCAAAAAAAAAAACAUGAUUUUAAUUUCUAUUAUGUAUCUAAAAUACACUAAGAUAUUAUUGAACACUUAAAAUAAUUAUAUAUUACAUGAAGGUUGAUGAUUGAAAGUGGCGAUUGAGGCUUGAGAUUUUUAGAUUUUGGUUAUGUUUUCUUUGAAUAAUAUUUUUUAUUUUAUGAGAAUUUUUUUUUGUUUUAUGCUUUCAUUUAUUUGAUUUUUUCUAUCAAUAACUAUGUUUACAUUUUGUUUGAUUUUGAAUGAACAAGUUUAAUGUUUUUUUCUUAUUUUUAAUGGAUUUUACUUAUGUUUUGGCUACAAAAUAUGUACAAAUCAAGUAUUUUAAAACCGAAUAACCGAUCUUAAUUAUGUUUUGGUUACCAAGUAGGUAUAAAUCAAGUACUUUUAAACCGAAUAACCGAUUGGAACUCAAACGCCAAAGUACAUCGGAUUGUACCGGUUCUUUUGAAGAUUUACUAACCCCGACCCAAACCUUAUAAACCCCGAACCGGUCCAAACCGAACUUUCAUAUAAUCCGAGUAGCGCUGAUUUUGAUAAACCUAAAAAACCAAGACUUGAUUGGACAAAACUGAAACCCGAUUGAAACCCCGAAUGUCCAUAUCUAGUUGAAGAGAAAUUGAAAAGUAAUUUCAAUAAUUGAUUAAUCUCUAUAUUUUAUAUAGAUACUACUUAUGAGGAUUUAAUAAAGGCCCUAUAAUUAUUACUUUCAAUUAUUAUUUAAAAAUACAAUCAAAAUUUAAUUUUUUUGAACAAACAAACUAAUGUUUUUUUUUUAAAUUUCUUUUAAAAAAAUUAAAAUAGUGUAUAUUUACACAGUUUUAUAACACUUUCUCAACUGAAACUAGAUAUUAUAUAUGUUAGUAAAAAUAAGAUCCAUAAAUAUCAUAUUUAGAGUUGGUUAUGGGGCAGAUGCACUGACCCUACUUUAAAGUUUAAACCAAUACCGAUAAAGCGCUUAAGAGUGUUUUCAACAAAUUGUUAUCUUUAAUGAAUUUUUUACUUUUAGUAGAUUUUAUCCUUUCAAAUUUUAGAGGUGCAUUAUUUUUUUUUUAUUUUUUUUUUUUGAACUAUGAGGUGCAUUAUUAGUUUCCUCAAAACACUUUAUAAUUUUUUUGUUUUAGUUUUUACAAUUAUAUAUGUUUAACAAAUGUAUGAUUAAUAUUUUAUAUAUCAUAUUUUAGUACUUAUUGUUAUAUUUUUAUAAAUAUUUAACUGAAAAUUGAUAUUUAUUCAUUUUUGUAAUACUUACAGUCAUAUUUAAAUAAUUAUGAUUAUAUUUACGUAUAAAUAUUUUUGAGUAAUGUUUUUAUUUAUUUAUAAAACUUAGUAACUGUAACUAACAAUAAUAUUAUUAAAUACUAAAUUUGAAUUAUUUUAUUUAAAAUAUAUUUAUGAGCGAUCGAAUACCAUACUCUCUACCUCUUAUUUUAAGAGUGGUCGUCCUUUUUACACGAGAAUGCUUGUUGGAGAUCUGACUGUUCAUCCUUGGCUACGAAACGAAUGGCAUUUAUACCAUGGUUUUGAUCCCAAUGAAGCUUGUUUUAUUGAUGUCUAUAUUUUCUUCAACAUUUUGUAAAAAGGUGACAAUGAUAUGUAAUGAAAUUUUAGUCGGAAAAGGAGGUUUUCUACUAAACAGAGACGAACGAUAUCCAGAACGAUUAUUUUUUCAUUAGAUAUUGAAAAAUAUAAGACACUUUUCAUGACUUUUUAAUCUAAGAUGCAAUGUUUAUAUAGCACAAUUUGUGACGAAUAGUCGGAUAUUGGUGCCGCUACUAUUCAGCAGAUUUAAACCUGGUGGAGAUCACGUGAGGAAUAUGUUACGAAUAUAGAAAUGUACUUCUUAGAAAAAAAAGAAUGGAAAUACUCAAACUGCAAGAAAAAUGAAAAAUACAAACUUAGACAAACUAGAUAACAUCCUUUUCAGAUCAAGUUGAAACUUUCGGGCAGAGAGAAAAAAGCUCUCAUUCUCUCUCGUGUAGACGCCGCUCGUGAAACACCUCUAAGCUCCGGUGGCCGUGCAAGCGGCACCGGAGGCGUCACGCCUUUUCCCUUUCCUCAUUUUUUCUUUUGCUUUCGUCCUUUCCAUCUCUCCUGGGUCAAGAUUCUUGUCGCUCUGUGCUGUCGUGGUCACUCCAGAAACUCGCUUAGCGACGGAUGGAGACGACUUCGGACUUUUAAUGGAGGGGCGGUGAGACCUUAGGCGACACGGCAGAGACGAGAGUCGGCGUUUAGGGUUUCAGCUUUAACCAGAUCCAGUUUUCCCUUUUGGAGAUCUCCCGUUAAAGCUGUUUGAUGUCGGCGCGUGACGAGGCGUGACAGUUCUUCCACCAUGGAUCUACCUUUCCCCGGCGGCGGUGUGACUGUAGAAGGAAGAAUACGACUGGCAGCGAAAGAGGUUCCGAUCUCUGAGAUUGACGCGCGGAUUGGAUCUCAACGAUGGACUUAUCCUCCGGAGAAGAGGUCCUUGCCGGAGACGCGCGGUGGAGAAGUGCUCCAAUGGCGAUGGUUCAGCUUGUGACUGGUCCAAUUUUCGAUCUCUACUCUCUUUCAAGCUGCGAUGUGGAGUCCUCGUUCCGUUUAGUUGAUGUCAAGGCCCGCUUUUCAUUCCGGACAGUCACGUUCGGCUUUAGGCUUAAGGUCGGGAUGGUGUGACUGAAGGGAUGGAUUUGCGGUCGGUCUGCGCCCUUAGGUGAGUUACUGUUAGUCCAUGUGCUGAAAUCACAUUAUAUGGAGGCUAAUAGUUCUGAAGCUUUACUGGUCCUGACUGCGGUUCAGAACCCGACAACUCAAUUCCAUCCUAGCGCUUCAAGGUCUUAUUUAUACGACCAGCCUGUCAGUACGGAACUGUUCCGUUUUUUGGCUUAGGAGCGGAGUUUUUCAAACCGGUGGUGACACAUCUAUUCAAGGAAUGCAUCGAAAGAUGAGGAGUGUUGUUCAUGUGCCCCAAUCUUAUCAUAUAGAGAUCAAUGCUAUGGUUCAAUUUUGGUCCUUGGAUAGUGCUUGUCAUCUAAGGGGCAUAAAGCUCUCGUCUCGUGGGGUCUAAUUAGGUGGUUUAAGAACCGGCUUCUUCUGUGUCUUGGAAGGAGUUUGUGUUCACUGGGGGAAAUUACAACAAAGAAUUGCAUUUGGUAGUGUAGGAUCCAAGCAGUGAUCUUAGAUGUUACUAAAUCUCUUUGUUUGUAAGUGAGGUUUUAAACACUUGUGUGGUGUAAAAACUUUGUACCCUUAUUUGGUGAAUAUAAAGUUGAUGUUGAGUUAAAAAAAAAAAAAAAAGAUAACACCCUUUUCGUAAGAACUAUUUUUCAAACUAGUGACUUUUUUUUUUUGUAACUAGUGACUUUUUCAUACCAUCAUAUUCAGAAAAUGGAGAAUAAAAUUAAGGAACUAUAAUACAAAUGCUUUGUAUUAUGAAUUCAUGUAUAAUUAUGUUUGUAAUAAUGUUCUUGGUUUUUUUUUUUUAAAUGUUCUUGGUUGACUUUGACAUUUUGUGUGUUUGAUUUUUACGUUGAAAAAAAAAGAGAGACAACAACGCGAAAGAAACUCAGAAGCCUUAAAAAUUUACGAAAAACCAAUAAUAAGGCCCACUCAAUUGAUUAUUUAUCAUCUUGAACUUAAAAAAAUAACCAUUUAAUUUUAUGAUAUCUUGAUUUAUUUUAGUUUGACGGUCCAUUGAUAACAGUAUGUUUCAUGCCUUCAACGAUGCUUGCUCAUGCUCUUGUUGUUGUACAUCAGAUGUUGACUAUUACCGAUUUUAAUACUUCCAUACUUUGUUUGUUGGUUUCAUCUUGAUUUACCAGAUGUGUUUCUACAUGCGCAUAUGCAUCAGAUCAAAGUGCAUCUAUAAAAAAAGAAGAAGAUAAGAUUCACUAAGACCAUGCGCAUCAGGGAAUCAUAAGAGGAGUUCACACGCGUCCCGAAAAAAAAGAUUAUAAUAUACUACAAUAAUGACCCUGUCUCGCCACUUUCCUUCCGGAUGAACCCAGAUCGUUAUUGUUCAGCGGACCCCACGCCACGUGACGGCUCGCUAUUAGUCAAUUUUUUUAUUUAAAAAAAAAAAAUCAAACAAAAAAAAAACAUGAGAAUAUCUAAAUAUUGCUAAGACAAACUUUCUCUGUGAACUAAUUCAGAAGACCAUCUCCGUGCUUCAUUUUUUACUUUUUAUUUUAUUUUGAAGCAAAUUUUGCUUCUAUGGUGCUUCAUUUCUUGCUUCAAAACGAAACAAUGAAACAUUAUGGCUUCAAAUUUAAAUCAAUACUGUUCAUUGCUUCAUUUUUUAAGCUGAACUUUCUAAAUUAUAAAUUGGUCAUUAACUUUUGUUUGUUUCUAUAUUUUACCGAAAUAAAUCAUAUGUCAAUAUUGUCCAAUCAGUUUUAAAAUUUUGACAAUUCUAUUCAUCUAAUUAGAUAUUUAUAUUGAAAAACAUGAGAAUAUUCAUUUUUAGAACUUUAAUUCGUUUAAAAAUAAUGGAAGAUAAAUAAUAUCACAUUUUACUUCUAAACACUUAGUAAUCAUUUAAAUAUAUAUAUAUAUAUAUAAGAUGUCUUUUUUUUUUACAAAAUAUGAUGUUUUGUGUUUGUUUAUUUAUGUUAUGUAAUAUUUUAAUAUGAUAAUGUUUGAUUUAUAUUAAAUAAUAAUUAUGUUAGAUUAUUGUUAAAACAAAACACUUGUGUAAAAUUACUAAAUAUGAAAAAGUGUAAGAUGUUAUUAAUAAUUAAUGAUAAAGUGGACAUGAAAUAUAUUUGGAAUAUUCAUUUUACAAGAAAGAAACGAAGCAAACUAUUGGAAAAGAUGUGCUUCAUUUUUUGGUUCAUUUUGAAUAAAGUGCACUUUUGAAGUUGAAAAUGAAGCCAACCAUUUGUCCACAGGUUUAACAAGUCCAAAACACAAACGACAGCCGAAGAAGAAGGCAAAUACUUGGUAGAAGGAAGCUAUUGUUUCCUUCCAAGAACUUAGCUGCUUCACAAAGAACACAUCUGGAUCUCGAGAUUACAUCUGCGACGGUGGUGUUUGUGUUCUACGAAGAUCCAACAAUCCGACACUUGAAAUGGGUUAAUAAUACAUCUCUACUAUCUCAGAUCUUGAAACUUGUGUGUAAUCUGUCUACUUUGUAUUUUAUCAUUUUUGUUUCCAAAAUGAAAAUCGAAUGAUAUCUUAAUUAUAAGGAUUUUGGUCAUUUGGCACAUAUCUGUUAUCGAAUAUGGUCUGAAAAUAUCAUGAAGUUAUUAUUAUUAUUUUUUUGAAACACUAAAACGCCUAAUCGUGAAGUUAUUUAUAAUGUUUAUUUGAUCAUAUACAAUUUUGUUUAUUUUAGGUGAAAUGUCAAUACAUAUUGGUAGAUUUGAUCAUA